GAUGCAUGUCGGACAGUCGCGGCCUAUGUACGAAAGGAUAUAGGCUGAGGAAAGUCCGGGCUUCACAGGGCAAGGAUAACGGAUAACGUCCGCCGAGGGCAACCUUAGGGAAAGUGCAACAGAAAACAAACCGCCCGCAAGGGUAAGGAUGAAACGGCGAGGUAAGAGCUCACCAAUAUUCCGGAGACGGAAUAGUUUUGUAAACCCUAUCCGAAGCAACACCGCAUAUGGGGCAUAUAGGUCGGCCCGGCCGCUCCGAAGGUGGCUAGAGGUAUCCGGUAACGGGUAUCCCAGAUAGAUGACUGUCGAUUACAGAACCCGGCUUACAGACAUGCAUUACGA
rnacentral:RNase_P_RNA from 1 species